AGUCGACCACAGAACAAAUCUGCUUCAAGCCUGCCGCACACUGCACAACAUGAUCGAACCCGACUGGACCAUCGUGUAGAUUUGCCGAUGCACCGCCGCACACUAGCGAUUUACAAUUACUCACCAGCAGAGUCGCUGUGAUGUAUGGCACAUGGAGGUAACGCCACAGGGGGAAGCGAGCCAGAGUACAGGUCAAGAGAAGAGAGGAUUCUGAAUGCCGCUCCUGUCGAUUCACCUCGCAAAUCUACCCAACAAUAUGGACGAGCUUCAUCUUCUCAUAAAGACCAGUAUAGACUUGCCCUGUGUUUUACGGAGACAUGGCUAUGUGAAUGCGUCCCCGAUGGCGCCGCAAUGCUUCCAGGCAACUACAGCGAGCGGACCGCGUCCCGGAGCUAUCGGGGAAAACAAAAGGAGGCGGAAUAUGCAUGAAUUAGAUAAGAGUUCUAGAUGACCAGAGGGUUUUUUUCCCGAACCCAAACACACCCAACAAUGCAGUGCUCCCUAUGUGUCCCUCGCUGAGUUGACUUCUUCCACCACGCCGCCAAGCCAGCCGCCUGUUCUCACACGUUCCCUGCCUCAACGACCCGCGAGAUCAUCGCAAGGACCAUCUCCAUUCCUUUGUUCAACUAACCUUUCAUCACAACCUCUCAGCCUCCGCCUGCUUCUGGCUCCAGUCUAAAUCAACUUGUGACAUCAGCUGUGUAUUGAUAGAAUAGUAAUUCUAAAUAUGCCCAAAAGCAAGGUCUAAGGACUUGU